AAAAUAUUUUGCUUAGCGUUACUCUUUAUCCUCUUCCCCACGUGUACUGCCCUAUUGUUCUGGUUCUUCCCCGAGCGUCUAACGAGAACCAGAUCUUUGACCAAAAUUUUGUUUGAAGCUCAAAUUCGACAGUUGACAGAGUAAGUGUGUGAAGAUGAAGCUACUUGGAUGGUGGUUGAUGCUGGUGGGUUUACUUCGUUUAGCAUCGGUAUGGUUCGGAUUCUUCAACAUUUGGGCUCUUCGCAUUGCCGUUUUCUCCCAAACCACAAGUAUGUAUGUAUGCAUUUACAUUUUAUUCUUUUCACUUGCUGCACGUUUUGUCGUUUUUCUUUUUCGGUGAUACGUAGUCGAUUUGAUGUAACUCGGUAUUUGACAAUGUUUAACGAGAUCCCAAAUUGAACGAAUUCUCCUACGUUUGCUUGUGUUGGAUCCACGCUCACCAAAUAAGCUACAUUCAUUAUCAGAGAGACUGUUAGUGAAUCUUCAAGAUUAGAUAAUUCAGAUCUUUACUGCCCUUUAGUACCCCCUUUUACAUUUGCACAUAAUUUCACUCACGCCGAUUAUUUAUUUAUUUAUUUAUCUUUUUCUCAGAGAACAAUUAGAUAUUUAUAGGCAUCAUGUUAAUUUGCAAUUUCCAAAUGCUGUAUCGUUGUCACCUAAGAUGGAUGUGUUGGAAACGAAACAACAGUUUUGAGCUUUUGUAUAUUCAGAGAAAAUUCCCGGUAGUUAAGAUUUGUAGGAAAAAAACUCAGUCUCUAUGGUGAAUUUGGAGAGUAUAACCAACUUUGGUGAAGUGUUUCAUGUUGCUUAUCAAUGCUAUUGAUCUUUGCUGCAGCUUUACUUCUUAGUAAUGCGACUUGAAAAUAUUAGUGGGAGAAUGUUAUUCGAAAGAUAUCUUGAUUGGUUUAUGGCUUAUGAAUUCCUCUCGACUGGAGUAUAUUGCGAUUUUGCAUUUCUAAUGUGUAUGAUUUACUUUCUGGACGUUUCUCUUUUUAUUUCAGAUUUUAUUGGGAGCUAAUUAAUUCCAUUGCAUUGCAUUACCCAAUGCAUCUGUUCAAAAUGCGUGCAUCUGCUUUAAAUCUUAAAGGUGUAGAAAGCAAUUAGUAAUUGCAAAACCGGCUUAGAAAGUAGAAGGAAUAUAUUGGAUAGAUGCAGGGGGAUUUUAGAAUGUAUUUCAUAAUUUCAUCUGGCAGAAUUGGUAAAUCUAUGCACUGAUUUUUAUGCUAUUAAAAGCUAUGUUGCUCGGUCUCUCCAUUUUUGGCCAAGUAUUGUCGACACGACACGGAUACGGAUACGGGAUACGGGUCGGAUACUCGGCUUUGAACUCGGACACGGCUGGAAAUGGAGGAAUGAAAAUGGCAGCAGCAUUUAACCGGUAAUUGCAGACAGGUAGACAGGGAAGAUGAGGGUUGGAGCUUUGGACGAGACAAAAUUUCUGGUGCAUUAAUUGCUUUUUGAUGAGUUAGUCUCUUUCCCCGUAAAUUGCACCAGAUUUGAAGAUUCCUCCUAUAAUGGGUCAACUCUUGGAAUUGCAAAGGGCAUUUGGAAUUGCAAAAGAUGUUUUAUCUGCCUUCUUGGAAUUUUUGCACCAGAAAACUCCACAUAUUUUUCAUCUUCCUCUACAGAAAUUUAUUUUCUUCAAUCGAAAAUUCAAUCAAAAAAUUCCAGAAUAUUGCUUACUCCUAAUUUUCAAGUAUGAAUCCAUCUAACUCUACACUAGAAACACCUCAACGACCCUCAAAUCUUCGUGCAAAUCAAUUCUAUGAUAAGCCACUAUGGAACCAUGUUAAGGUACUGACCGUAGCAGUGAGCGGAGGUGGAAAUCGGACUUGGAGUUGCAACUAUUGCAAUAAAAAAGUGACUGGAUCUUACACUAAAGUGAAGGCUCAUUUGCUAAAACUUCCAAAUCAAGGAGUCGAGUGUUGUAAAGUCAUAACAGAUGACAUUCAUCAAUCAAUCAAAAGGGAACACGAGCAAGUUGAGAGGAAAAAAUUACAAGAUGAGAUUAACGAAAGGAAAAGGGCUGAAUAUGUCUCACUACCCAGUGAUUCUGAUUUACUGCAGCAGAAAAUGAAGAAGAAAAGAGGAUAGCUUGGACCUUUAGAAAAGACUUUCAACAUGGCGCAAAGGGACACUGAUAAAGAGGCUGCCAGAAUGUUUUAUGCCAGUGCGUUAUCCUUCAAUUUUGCAAAAUCUCCUUACUUCAGACAGUUUUGUAGAACUUUGGCCAAUAGUAAUGUGGCUGGUUAUACCCCUCCUACUUAUAACCGGAAGGGUACCCUAAGAACACGCACUUCGAGCCUUAACGAGCCAGAAUUGGAGGCAAUUACGUUUGAUGAAGAAGAGGAGUAGAGCUUGAUUGGGAAUGCUAGUUUAGUUUGAUUUCAAGUGGAAAACUUAUUUUGAAGUUGUAACAUUUUGGAUGUUUAACUUUAUUUUGAAUUAUGUUUUGUUUGAAUUUGGAUUUUUAUCAUUAUAUGAAACAUUUGUAUUGUGGUAAUUUGCCUUUUUG
rnacentral:lncRNA from 1 species